CAGACGGGAACAGCACAGGCAAUGACAGUGCGAGCUUUCCCCACACAAACUCCGUGUGCAUCCACCCUGACCCGGAGGGGCCGCCUCUACA
rnacentral:sRNA from 1 species